rnacentral:rRNA from 1 species
GACGAACGCUGGCGGCGUGCUUAACACAUGCAAGUCGAACGGAAAGGCCUCUUUCGGGGGGUACUCGAGUGGCGAACGGGUGAGUAACACGUGAGUAACCUGCCCUUGACUUUGGGAUAACUUCAGGAAACUGGGGCUAAUACCGGAUAGGAGCUCCUGCUGCAUGGUGGGGGUUGGAAAGUUUCGGCGGUUGGGGAUGGACUCGCGGCUUAUCAGCUUGUUGGUGGGGUAGUGGCUUACCAAGGCUUUGACGGGUAGCCGGCCUGAGAGGGUGACCGGCCACAUUGGGACUGAGAUACGGCCCAGACUCCUACGGGAGGCAGCAGUGGGGAAUAUUGCACAAUGGGUGGAAGCCUGAUGCAGCAACGCCGUGUGCGGGAUGACGGCCUUCGGGUUGUAAACCGCUUUCGCUCAUGACGAAGCUUUGUGUGAUGGUAGUGGGUAAAGAAGCACCGGCUAACUACGUG